rnacentral:lncRNA from 1 species
AUAAUUAUAUAUGUUUCUUCUUUAACAGUCCACCUUUCACACCCUCGCAUUUAGCUGGUUUCCAGAUUCAAGUUAACUUCAUUCCCUUUGAACAGGACCAAAAUUUCACUCCCAUUGGAGCCGAAUGAAUACAACUAACAGUCAACAGAAAGCAUACUUGUAGUAACCAGGAUUUUAUACAAGAAGCAAUGAGCACAAACUGGGACACGGGAAGCUCUCCUUUAUUGUGUGGGUGACAUCGCUGGCACAGGCUGCCCACAGGGGCUGUGGGGUCUCCUCCUUGGAGGCUUUCAGGAGCCGCCUGGACAUGGGCCUGGCACUGUGCUCUGGGUGUCACGACUCGAGCAGAGGUUGGGUCAGAUGGACCCAGAGGUCCCUGCCAGCCUUCGCCAUGUUGGGAUUCUCUGAUCCAACCAGCUGGUAAAGCUGCUUACAAAGAACUGAAGAAGAAUCAAGGGAUUCCCCACUUCUCCCCAUCCCCCCCCCCCUUUUUUUUUCCCAAAUCCAAACAGGCAAUUGGCAAUUCAGAAAAUCUGAAUUUUCAAACACUUAUUUGAAAAUGGCUACAAACACAAAAUACCAUAUACGUUCAGCAAAAACACCUAAUUAUUUGGGCAGUCCUAUACAGGAUAGAGCUUCCAGAAGAUCUGUUUAACAGUAUAUUAGAAAAGCCUCUAGCCAAACAAGACCAAUAGGGAAGCACUGACCAUCUCAAAGAUGUCUGUGGUUUCUUAUCCUAAGUUCUUCUUAGUGUAGCCAGAUCAAAGACUGUUUCAUCAUUUUUUGCUAACAGAUAUGACUGCAGGUUGAUUUUUCAAUACCAGAUCAAGUAUAUUAGCACCUUUACACUACCACAUUCCAAAUUAUUAUGAUAAUGCCAGUUCACAGACAUACAGUAUCAGAACUUUCAUAUUAAAGUGUGCCAAUUAAAGCACUUACAUUCAUACAGGGAGUUGUUCCAAACGGUUUCAAAUUAGCUCACUUAUCUACAUAAAUCCAAGGCAAUAAAAAGUUCACAAUGUAAGCCCAGAAGAAAUCACUAUCAGCUGUUUCCCUCUAACAAAUCUAGGUUUCUUAGGUACACAUUUCAAGGACAGGCCUUGUUUAAAGAGCUCAAUUUAUUUGAAGUCUCUUUCCUGCUAUCCAGCUGACAGAUCAAAGGUACUUCUCACUCAGCAUUUGCUCCCACUUUACCCUCCUUUUCAACUUGGUCAAAAAUUUAAGUUUAGAUAGAUUUAAAAUCUAUUUUAAAAUUCAUCAUUUCAUCUUUUUCAGUCUUCUGUUCCUCAGCUUUUUAUGUCCCCCCAAGUUUCCCUGCGACACUUCCCAAAUAUUGGAAUCCUUGGGUUACUCAGUUACAUGAAAUCAUGCACAGAUAGAAGACAUUGUGAGACUCAGAAAUGCUAAGGUCUUUGUUGCAUGGGUCUUUGAGCAGUCCUGUGGACUACUGCUCUGAGUCAAACAAAUUAUAACAGCUCAGUUUCAUAAAGCCAGGUUUGAAGAUCUUCAUAUUUUUUAAUAACUCUCAGGAUUCUUCCUGCUUAAAAGAAGCUAUUUAUUUCAUAGCAAAAAUAUUGUCUGUCUUGUCAGGUCUGACACUUUCAACAGGAAUGACAAAAGAAAAAAGAAUCUCCAGAAUGAAGUACUGUCUUUUCUCGACAGCUUAUCUUACUGUCUGGCAUUAUCAAGUUUUAAAUUUCAUAAUCUGCAACAAGCACUGUAAGGAAAGGACUGAUCAGAUCUUCAAAAAAAAUACUGCACUUUCAGGGAUUUCCACAAUCAGAGUUCUUAUGCUAUAGUGGUUCCAGAAGAGUUCAGUAAUACCACUUCUACCUGGGGCAAUAUUCAUUUCAGAGCUGAAAGAACAGGACUCGUCUCUUAGGCUAGCAGUGGUAUCAUCAUCUCCCUGCACAGAACAAAGAAAUUAAUCCAAAACCCAAGCUAGAAAUUCAACUGGUGCAGAAGAACAGCAGAUCACAUUCUAGGAAGCUGUAGUAACCCUUCCAAUGACGUAUGCCUCUAUUUUUUUCUUUCUUUCUUUUUUUUUUUUUCCAGACAAAAAGCCAAAUCAACACUGAUUUGCAUCUUACAAUCAAAUUUCCUCUAAGUCAAGAACUCUUUCUAUGCGUCAUGUCCCCAGCAAAUGGAGGCUGUUCUUCAGAAAGUUUACAAAGAUAAAGUUAAAACUUUGAAAAUAAAAGACACAUUUGUGUGUCAGUCAUGUUUUUCUUAUAACAGAUGGGUUGUGUUUCACGAUAAAAAAUGUUUACACUGAAUGUAUUAAGAUUAAUUAUUAAUAAGGAAACAAGUAUAUUUUCGUAAGGUUAGAGCUUUGAGACUCAGUUGCAAAAUUAACAGUUCAGUUUGCUCAGUGGUUGAAGUUAAAAUAUAUUUAAAACUAAGUUUAAGGCAGCUGUUAACAGCAUUAACCAUGUCUUUUGAAGCUGUGCUUCAGAACUGUCCAUAUUACAGUUUGACCGUACAACUUACUCUGUUAUGGCACGACUGUGAACAAGCAAAGAUGUAUGAAGCAAUUGUGGAAGGAGGGGAAAAUAUGACUACAAAAAAAAAUCUGCUUAAUAUAUACAUUUUCAAUGAGCAUAAAUUUAAAAGAGUUCUCUCUCUAAUAGUGCUGGACAUUUUUUCCAUCUGCUUGAUCAUCACAUAUUUGUGCCAUGAAGUUCAAUAGGACACGAACUGCAGUAGCUUCCCAAGAGUCAACAUGAUAAAAAUGUCUUCCAGCACUGGCCAUGCUGUCCUUCAGAGGAUUUAAACAGCAUUUGCAACAAAAAACAUGUUUACUUAUACAGAAAGAAAAAAAUGAACUGGCAGAGGAAAGUACUUUUUCUACUACCAUAUUUUCAACUCAUAAACUACAUUUGGAAUAUAAAGUUGACAAGGGCAACUAAAGAAGAAGCUCCAAAAUUAUACUCUGCAUAAAACUAUUUCUUGAUUUAUGUUCCUCCUCUAACAAAGGGAUUAGUCAGGAAAACACCACCAUGAAUGUCCACUUGCAACUGGUGAGGCACUCCUGCACAGCUGGGCAUGACUUCAGUCUUCUGCAUGCUCCCACAUACACAUCUGCUUGGAACACAUAGAUUUCUGUCUCUUCGAGGGAUUGCCAGUACACCUGGCAGAAAGCCAUGACCCUGCUCUUCCCCUGUGAUGGGCAGCAAAACUGACAGGCACAGAGAUCUUAUUGCACCCAACACCGUGGCUCCAUGCAAAAGAAGUCCAGGAGACAGUGUGUGCUAAGAUAUCACUCCUGCUGAUUGGAACAAGGACCAGAACUCUAAGGAGAACUAAUCAUCCUAUCAGAGAGCUUGUGCUGGGCAUAGCACACCCAAGUAUCCCAUUCAGAAGGCUGUCCACAAGAUGUACCAGAAUGGAAAAGGACUGCAGCUGUAUAUGCUGCACUGAAGUACAAUCUGCCACUUUCUUGUACCAGCACUAGCAACACAGUGCUUUUUCUUUUUCUUUUCUUGUCUUUAUUUAUUUAUUAGGAGAUUCUUUCAAACUGCUAAGGUCUCUUCUUUCUCCUUUACAA